UACGUAGGGUGCGAGCGUUAAUCGGAAUACUGGGCGUAAAGCGUGCGCAGGCGGUUUUGUAAGCCAGAUGUGAAAGCCCCGGGCUCAACCUGGGAAUGGCAUUUGGGACUGCAAGGCUUGAGUGCGGCAGAGGAGACUGGAAUUCCUGGUGUAGCAGUGAAAUGCGUAGAUAUCAGGAGGAAUACCGAUGGCGAAGGCAGGUCUCUGGGCUGACACUGACGCUCAUGCACGAAAGCGUGGGGAGCAACAGG
rnacentral:rRNA from 1 species